GGAUGUGAGGGUGGUCUGACUGAGAUAUCUGUUAUACCACUGAUCACAGCCAAGGUUUAUUUGCUGAUCUGGAUCAUUGGGUGGGUAUACCCUUCCCUCCUCACUACUCCAUGUUAGUUUAUCCCUCCUGAAGUUACUCCAUCAAAGAGGACAACCUUCCAUGAACAGAGGAGGACCUGUCUUCAGUCAAGAGGAUAGGAGUAGAUGUGCUCCCUGCUAGAACCUCCAAACAAGGUCUCAAAAAUAUUCAUAUUUCAAAGGGUAUCAAAUCUGAAGUUUAAAAGAAUAAAUUGCAAAUUGUUUUU
ensembl:misc_RNA Gm25807 predicted gene, 25807